CAGUUACUCAAAAACAAACCACACAGAAAAAUACACUCACACAGCGCUGUGUGAGUGUAUUUUUCUGUGUGGUUUGUUUUUGAGUAACUGUCUACC
rnacentral:pre_miRNA from 1 species